GAGGAAGAGACCCAUGGGGCUGAACACUGUUGAGGGCUCACAGGAGUCAUGAUCAGAGAAAGAAGGUCCUUCUAGGGAUGGAGAUAAUAGGAAAAGCUCAGACUUACCUUGUCUUUCCCGGAGUGUCACGCAAAUAAUGACAAAGUGUAACUGGUGGGCUGUGUUUGGAAGCACACUGAUUUGGAUGGUUCAAGAUCACAAAGGGUUUCCUCCCCGGUGCCAGGGUUUCUGCAGAUUGUAAAGGAGGUGAAGAAAACAGACUUUGCUUCUUAAUGUUGCCAAGUGGGUUGGUUAAAUGCAAAUGCAGAAAAGAGCACCUUCUCUGAAUUCAGAAAUGCGUGAGUAGAAAUAAGAGAGACCUGGUCCUGAAUGUCGCCCAGUCAACAUUUUGUUCCUAUAAACUCCCACCAGAGAAUCAUUCUUUUGACUGACUGACAGUGCAAAGAACACCACGUUUGCCCUGGCUGUGCUAACUAAUAACCUCAGUUUCUACCUCUGUGAAG
rnacentral:lncRNA from 1 species